rnacentral:rRNA from 1 species
AUUGAACGCUAGCGGGAUGCCUUACACAUGCAAGUCGAACGGAUUGGCGAACGGGUGCGUAAUGUAUCUGAACGUGCCCAGUAGCGGUGGAUAACUACGCGAACGCGUAGCUAAUACCGCAUACUAUUGGCGCGGCCGAUAGGUGAUUAGCUAGCUGGUGGGGUAACGGCUCACCAAGGCCACGAUCCGUAGCUGGUUUGAGAGGAUGACCAGCAACACGGGGACUGAGACACGGCCCAGACUCCGACGGGAGGCAGCAGUGGGGAAUAUUGGACAAUGGGGGAAACCCUGAUCCAGCCAUCCCGCGUGUGUGAUGAAGGCCUUCGGGUUGUAAAGCACUUUUGGCAGGAAAGCGGUACCUGCAGAAUAAGCACCGGCUAACUACGUGCCAGCAGCCGCGGUAAUUC